UAUAAAUAAGAAAGAAUACCCCUCCCUAUCUUACAAGAAGAAUAAAGAAUAAAUACAAAUAUGAAAUGAAAGGUACAAACAAAAUGAAGCCUGAAAUUUUUCCUCGAAAAUACAAAUAUGACUUUGCUAAUACUAUAAUAGCAAAGUCAUAAACCCUAACCACAAGCUGCUCACAGCAAUCAAAAAUUCAAGGAAGACCUCUAUUAUCUCUUGAUGUUCUAGAUAAAGGAACCCUUUUUCACAAUUAUUUUAAGAUAUAAAAUAAGAAAACCCAAGACUUUCAGCAACUUUCAAUAAAAACUGAAUUUAAAAGAGAAAUUAAUUGUAAUUGUAAUUAUAGAGAGAAGUAAUCAAGCAAAUAUUCAAAUACAUAUAUACAAAAACUAAAUAAAAAAAAGAAUAUAGAAAUAGAAGAAGAAACACUAGUAGAACAGAGAGAAAACAUACCUGAAAGUCGAAGAAAGUUGCGGGCUACGGCUAUGUCUUUGCGAACGGCGAUAAUCAUGGCGGCUGUGGUGUUACAACAGAGCAGAAAGUCUCUCUGAAGAGAAAGUGGCACUGAAAUAAUAGGGUUAGCAUAGCGGGUUAGGGACUUAACUCUUAAGUGAAGGAAAGGGUAUCUUUUUACUAUAUCUUAUCGGUUUAUGGAUAAACCGAUAAACCGAAGAGGACAAAUCGAAAUCAAUAACUCGAUAAGGUAAUUUUCGAAAUUGAAAUCGAAAUCGAUUCGAAUGCACACCCCUAGUGCUUUUUAUCAACUGAGAAAAAUCUUACAAAAAUAUUAUACUUAGAUUAUUUUCAACAAUCAAUAGCAUUAGACGUAGAAUAGAAACAAAUCCAAGCAUGGUUAGAAUUGCAACUAAAACCAACAUGCAUAGCUAACUUAUAUAGAAGCCCAACUCUCAACCAAUAUUAACUCCCAAUGGAUAUCGAUCCCGACCUUUCGGGUAAAAGCUGCAUCAAUCACUCAUCGCCAUUAUAUAGUGGUGCAAUGUUGGAGGUGAUCACAGAUCCUGAGCCUUCCUCUCUCUCUCCCCUUGGCCAGCAAUAAUAACUAUUUCUCCCCACCUUUGGCCCCCGGUUCCCCAUACAGACUACCAAAAAUAAUAUUAGCCUCCAUGAUCGCCAACUUCGCCUCUUUCCUAGCUACCUUAUAUCUCUUUUUGCUUGCUCUCAUCUCCUCCUCGCAUGUGCUCUACUAACUUCAGGUACGCCGCCUUAUUCGCUUUCACUUUACCUUGAACCCCUUUCGGUCACCUUUGUGCCUCCAGGAGUAACCCAUCGAGAAGGGGCUAUCACUGCUACCACUAGUGAAGCCCUAACAAAAGCAAAGAAGAGAAAAAAGGAGGAAAAAACAAUGGGGUAAUGGCCGAAUAGGCUAACACACAAGUAAAAAAAGAGGAGAAAAAGAAGGGAAAGAAAGGGAGGGGCCGACAGGGAGGGACAAUAAAGGGGAUGGGACUGCAGAAGCCGGAAUAGAGGUCAUCGGCGGGAUAACAUUCACCAGAGUAGGCAACUAGUAUUAGGUUAGGGGUUGAGAGGAGAGGGGGGCGAAGCAAGAAGAAAUAAAGAAGGGAGUGAAAGGAGUGGUAGAAGAGAUGACAGGAGAGAGAGCUGAGGGUGGUCGGAAUUCUUAUCUAGUUGCCGGCAUCGGCACCUGUAGGGUUCCGGGAGAAGAUGACCAAUGGGGUUCUUAUCGCAGAGAGGGGGGAGAGAGAGAGUCAGGGAGAGAGAAAAGGAUCCUUAGAAAAAGUACAUAAAAGCCACCUUGGUAAGAAGAGAGAAAAGAGGGGUCGUUGACUCCGAGAUGAAGAGGCCGUCACUCAGUCAAUGUGAGUUGUCGGUCGUCACCUGUUGCCGGAUGAAGUUCAUAAAAGACAAAAGGUUUGCCACAUCGGGAAUUCUGAGAGGGCAUUCUUCUAAGUUAUCA
rnacentral:lncRNA from 1 species